UACGUAGGUGACAAGCGUUAUCCGGAUUUACUGGGCGUAAAGAGCGCGCAGGCGGUCGAUCAAGUCGAGUGUGAAAGCCCCCGGCUCAACUGGGGAGGGUCAUUCGAUACUGAUCGACUCGAAGGCAGGAGAGGGUAGUGGAAUUCCCGGUGUAGUGGUGAAAUGCGUAGAUAUCAAGAGGAACACCUGAGGCGAAGGCGGGUUGCUAGGCUGACACUGACGCUGAGUGCGCGAAAGCCAGGGGAGCAAACGGG
rnacentral:rRNA from 1 species